rnacentral:rRNA from 1 species
UACGUAGGUGACAAGCGUUGUCCGGAUUACUGGGCGUAAAGAGCGCGCAGGCGGUCGUUCAAGUCGAGUGUGAAAGCCCCCGGCUCAACUGGGGAGGGUCAUUCGAUACUGAUCGACUCGAAGGCAGGAGAGGGAAGUGGAAUUCCCGGUGUAGUGGUGAAAUGCGUAGAUAUCGGGAGGAACACCAGUGGCGAAGGCGACUUCCUGGCCUGUUCUUGACGCUGAGGCGCGAAAGCUAGGGUAGCAAACGGG